rnacentral:lncRNA from 1 species
AUCUGAGUCAGCAGGCUGAGCUGGAUCAAAAAGGAUUUUUUUGUUUGUUUUUUGUUCCCCCUGCCCCUCCCCCAAAUUAUAAGGAGCAGUUUGGAGUUAACUUGACCAUGAUUUGUCAAGCACUACUUGGGAUAUCUUGGGUUAACCUAGGGUUUUUCAGCUUCAGCACUACUGACAUGAAGUGCUGGAAAAUUCUUUUGUGGGGUUUGCCCUGUACAUUGCAGGAUAGUUAGCAGCAACUUUGUCAUCUGCCCAUCUGGUACUAGUAGGAUCACUAUCCAACUCCCCACCCUCAAGUUGUGACAAAUGACAAUAAUGCCAGGCAUUGCCAAAUGUCUUAUGAGGGGCAGAAUCAUCUUCCAUUGAGUUGCUGGGGUCUCAUCAGAUCCAGUCACUGGGCAUAAAGGAAGAAAGGCUUUGAUGCAUUUAUAACUCAUACCAGAUUAUUAAAACCACCCUUCUGAAACUUUGAACACAGCCCAUGUCUUGGCUAGAACUGUUAAAAACCUUUAUAUUACUUUACAUUUUUGAAGCAUAUUUCAUGGAUCUGGUUUUCAUACAUCACGAAAUUUUACAAUCUCACUAUUUUCCCCAAAAAGAAAUAGAUGGC